rnacentral:rRNA from 1 species
AUUGAACGCUGGCGGCAGGCCUAACACAUGCAAGUCGAGCGGAUGAAGGGAGCUUGCUCCUGGAUUCAGCGGCGGACGGGUGAGUAAUGCCUAGGAAUCUGCCUGGUAGUGGGGGAUAACGUCCGGAAACGGGCGCUAAUACCGCAUACGUCCUGAGGGAGAAAGUGGGGGAUCUUCGGACCUCACGCUAUCAGAUGAGCCUAGGUCGGAUUAGCUAGUUGGUGGGGUAAAGGCCUACCAAGGCGACGAUCCGUAACUGGUCUGAGAGGAUGAUCAGUCACACUGGAACUGAGACACGGUCCAGACUCCUAAGGGAGGCAGCAGUGGGGAAUAUUGGACAAUGGGGGAAAGCCUGAUCCAGCCAUGCCGCGUGUGUGAAGAAGGUCUUCUGAUUGUAAAGCACUUUAAGUUGGGAGGAAGGGCAGUAAGUUAAUACCUUGCUGUUUUGACGGUACCAGCAGAAGAAGCACCGGCUAACUUCGUG